GGGCGAAUAGCUCAGCUGGGAGAGCAUCGCCCUUACAAGGCGAGGGUCACAGGUUCGAACCCUGUUUCGCCCA
rnacentral:tRNA from 1 species